rnacentral:misc_RNA from 1 species
CUUAACAACUGACACUUUUAUUCACAUUUGGAUUUGAUAGGAUACUUGAUCUCACUCGAAUAAAAUAAUCACGUUCAAAAUCAAAUAGAAACAUUUCUGUCGAACAGCUUUUAGCCAUUUCGCAAAUUGCGUCAGUAGAGAAAACAUUUCUCAGUAGGAAACAGCUAGAGCGAAAUUCAUUCAUCUGCAUAGUUUCGAGACUGCUUUAAAUAUUACAAUUUCAUAUUAAAGUUGGAUAUUUUAUUUCUUUUUCACGCGCACAAUGGCAAAGGCAAUUUUCCUGUUGGGACUGGCUGUUUUGAUGGCAUUGGCUAACGCUCAGUAUCAAGGAGGAUUUAUGGCGAGUCCUCUCUCGGAAAACUCGUUUCAAAACAACGAAGUUUGCAUCAAUUAUUUGAACACGUCGCUCGCUGAAUCUAUGGUCAAACUCAAUCGACCAGGAAACGCCAACAACGCUGGCUUCAAUGCUAUUGGAAAAGAAGUCGAAGAAAUAAUCAAUAAAAAAAUUACUAAUUUGAUGUUGAAAUGCAGAGGAACCGUUCUUAAAACUCCGCCCGAAAUCGCUAAUCACUUCAAUAUGGAUGGAAAGAGUUUCUUUGUUGAACAGCUGGCUAUUCAGAAAACUGAAAUUAAGCCCAGAUUGAGAACAGAAGUAGAUAACAUAAUACAAAUUGACAAACUGAAGGCUUCGUUGAAUCAAAUAGCCAAAGAAAAAGCGGAGCAAGAACAACUGGGUUCGCAAAAGUUAAGUCUUGUGGCAAGUAAAAAAGCCGAAAUCGAGAAACUGAAAGUGAGAUUAGAUCAGAUGAUUCAAAUACGAAAUCAUGAGUACGAGAGCGGAAACUUCUAUUACAACCGCUUCAAUCAGCGCAGCCUCGAGUUGCAGGAAGAGAGGAAAAAAUACGCCAGUCUCGUGGAAAAAUAUGACGAAAUUCUGGCCAAUGUUUGCGGGUGUACGAGAUGCAGAAACAAUCAAACACCAAACAACUGGGCGGAUAUUCUCAGCACGGGAAGAAAUGUCGAAAAAGAAACGAAUACGGAAGUCCUAUGGAAAACUACUACGGUCAACACUCCGACUAUUCAUUAGGAAACGCGUGUCCUAUAAAUUGUUGCUUUCUUCCUGCUCUCAUUUCUUACAACCCUUGCUGCUCUGAGUAAUACAAUACUAUAAGGAUUAAGUUUUUGCUUGAAAUUUUUCUUCUACGUGAAUCGAAUUGAAAUUUGAGCAUACUUGGCUGAAAUAUUCACGUUCCUAAACGAAGGAAAUGAGUCGCCAUAAUCACGGCCACUUUGCGAUCAGCGUUAGUUGAGAAGUUUCCGUUGAAAACACCUGGUGAUUAUUUUAGAUCGGUAGCCAUGGCGAACGAAAUGUUCUUGAUGAAACUGAUUUUUGUAACAACUCUAGUAGUGGUGACUCUGACGCAAGUUACGCAACCGCAGCCAGACAGAUUGCUCAGCACUCUCUCUGAAAAAUCAUUCCAAGAUCACGAGAAUUGCUUGCAACAUUUAACGACAAAAUUGUUUGGAUUUCUCAAUGAAAUUUAUCCACCAGAAAAGGCUAGUGAUAGUAAAAUCACCAGUUUUGGAAAAGAGGCCCUGGAGAUGAUAUCUAAAAAACUGAAUGCCAUGAUGUCCAAAUGCCAAAAUGGGGCUUCACUUAGAGUUACGCCAAUCGUCGUUACUCACUUGAACAAAAAUGGAAGGAAUUUCUACGUUGAGCAGCUGAUCAUUCAGAAAAUUGUGCUUAAGCCCAUCUUGGUGGUGGAACAAACCAAUGCCAAAGAAAUUCAGAUUCUCAAGAUCAGAGAGAACGAAAGGUUAGUGGAGAAGAUGCAAGUGGAAGUGGUUAAUAUGAAAAGGGACCGAAUUUUGGCAAAGCUCGACUCUGAUAUCGAAACACUCGAAUACGACAUAAAAAACGCGACUCGUGAUUACGAACGCGAGAAAUCUAGUGGUGAAUUUUACUACGACAAGUUUAACAAAGUCGAAGCGGAACUGGUGGCCGAGAAGAAAAAGUUUGAAGAUUUAAAUGCAAUUUACCUGGACAUCAUUGAGAAUGCUUGUGGCUGUCAAAGGUGUAGACUCUUCUUGGGCAAUGUGCAAAUACCGAAUUGGUUUCCUAAUUUUCAAGCCUCCAGAACUCCAAACUAGGAAAACACGUGAUCCUUACGUGAUCCUCUCGUUUCAACAGUGUGUCGUCU